rnacentral:rRNA from 1 species
GAUAACUUCCAAAUCACGUUCAAAAGUACCAGUUCUCGUCCGAUCACUGAAGUGACGGUUGAGCACGGUUAGUAUUUGGUGGAUGGGUGUGAUCGCUUUGGAACACUGUGUGUUGUCCUUC